GCAGCUACCGGAGGUCACCCCAUCUCCAGGGCUGUGUGGGACCUGUGGCAGAACUGAGGGGGAAGUUCACCUGCAUCAGGCGGUCUAUCCCUGUGGGGUGCCAUGGGAAGUUCCCAAUGCCAGACCUAUCCCCUCACUGGCUGCCUUGCUGAUAGUCCACAUACAGCCCAUGGAUGGCUUUCGACAAUGCUGCAAUCCCUCCAAGGUCAAAAAGCAUCAUCUUGACUUAACGGCUUACAUUUCCACAGCAUGACGUGUGCAGCUGUCUCUCUUUCAACCAUAGCCUCCAAUGGCUGGAGACAGAUUUGAUGACCAGAGGUAACAAGCAAGGUAAAUACAUAAGACUGUGAAUGGUGGAGAGAAAAAGGCAGACUGGAAUCUUCAGAAUCAAAGAACGAUGUGUUGAUGACUUCCCUGGACUUUCUUUUCACAUCAUGUGUCCAAGACUGGAAACUGAAGAAGUCAACAAUCUAGAAAUAGUAAUCGAAGAAAACCAACAAAGCCACCCCCAAAUUUCUCUCUAGCCAAAGGACCGGAAGGAGGAAAGUUUAACAGUUUUUGGACAAUGAUGGCUUUACUCCAGCCAAAUAUCAGCAAAGGCCAGUAGAGAACCUUUAAUACUCACCUGCCCGUGAAGUCACUCCAAAUCCCCCUUGUCUUCAUCAGUUUUCUGUUACUAUAGCAAGAUUCCCUAGGCUGAUAAGGUAGAAAGAAAAGAGACUCAUGUAGCUCACAAUUCUAGAGGUUUAAGGUCAUGGCACCAGCAUCUGCUUGGCCUCUGGUGAAGGACUCAUGGUGCAUCACAAUGAUGGGAGGACAUGUGACAGGAGAGAUCACAUCUUAAUUCAGGAAACUGAAGCACAGCUGGGGUCCCAUGAGAACUACAUCGACCCCUUCCAAAGGCACACCCCAAUAAUCUAGAGACUUCUCCCUAAGACCCACCACUAAACACCCUUAAAUGUCCCCCGACCUCUUAACAUUCUUAUAAUGAAACCUUGGCUGGGCUCUCCACAGAUCUACAGAAUCCGCAUUUCUGGGUUGGGGCUCAGGAAUCUGCAUUCUCACCUAUGACCCUGGAAGUUCUGAUGCUAAAAUGGAGGAUCAGUAUCCUAGACUAUUUGACAAUUCUUUCUCUUAUUUUGUAUCAUGCUUCUGUGCUGUGAAAAGAAGACCUAACUAUACCUGCUUACAUGUUUCAAAGAUCCUUAUGCAACACAGGAGCAAACUAAACCUCAUGACAUUCUGAUACUCAGUCCUCACUCAGAAUUCCUGAACCCUGUCACCUUGCUGCUUAGUUUGUGAGUUAUAAUUCCAGACUUUAAUCUUACAGAGAAAAAAAAGACUAAAAAAAAAAAAAAAACUUGGGUAAAACCCCCAAUG